GGACUGACCAUGAUCAACCCCAAGCCCCAACAAACUCAGAUUAACCUGGGAUAUAUGGACUGCUUUAAACCUCAAUCUCUACCCAGCAAGACAAAGGGUAGUCGUAAUAGCAGAUUCCAAGAGAAAUUGAUUCGUCUUAAACUGAAAAUAACAGGAGGAAUAUAAGAAGAGCCCUCCUGGAUCAGACCAGAAGUCCAUCUAAUCCAGUAUCCUGUCUCACAAAGUGGCCAAACAGUUACUCUAGAGGGCCAAUGGUCAAGGCCUUUCCCUGAUGUUGCCUCCUGGCACUGGGAUUCAUACUGCCUCUGAAAGCGGAGGCUCCCUUGAGUCACCAUGGUGGAAGCUGCUGAUGACCCUCUCUUAAUUUGUCCAGUUCCUUUUUUAAACCCUCUAUGCUUGUGGACAUCACUACCUGGCAGUGAAUUCCAUAUCCGAAUCACUUGCUGUGUAAAGAAGUACCUCUUUUUGUCUGUUCUGUAUCUGCCUGUUUGGCACCCUAGACAGUCUAUCACUCUAGCUUGUGGUAUCAUGAAUGUUUGUUAAAAUAGAGAUGAUGGUCAUGAUCCA